rnacentral:rRNA from 1 species
CCUACGGGAGGCAGCAGUGAGGAAUAUUUGUCAAUGGACGCAAGUCUGAACCAGCCAUGCCGCGUGCAGGAAGACGGCUCUAUGAGUUGUAAACUGCUUUUGUACGAGGGUAAAUCCCGAUACGUGUAUCGGGUUGAAAGUAUCGUACGAAUAAGGAUCGGCUAACUCCGUGCCAGCAGCCGCGGUAAUACGGAGGAUUCAAGCGUUAUCCGGAUUUAUUGGGUGUAAGGGGUGCGUAGGCGGUUCGAUAAGUUAGAGGUGAAAUCCCGGGGCUCAACUCCGGCACUGCCUAUGAUACUGUGGGGCUAGAGUAUAGUAGCGGGAGGCGGAAUGUAUGGUGUAGCAGUGAAAUGCAUAGAGAUCAUACAGAACACCGAUUGCGAAGGCAGCUUACCAAACUACGACUGACGUUGAGGCACGAAGGCGUGGGGGGCAAACAGGAUUAGAUACCCGUGUAGUC